AUAAAGCCCCAUAACCCCCCAAGGCCCCACAGCCCCCCAACACCCCGUAAGGCCCCAUAACUCCCAUAAAGCCCCAUAGCCCCCAUAAGGCCCCAUAGCCCCCCCACACCCCAUAGCCCCCAUAAGGCCCCAUAGGCCCCAUAAGGGCCCACAGCCUCCAUAGCCCCAUAGGACCCCAUAGCCCCAUAAGGCCCCACAGCCCCCAUAGCCCCAUAAGGCCCCAGAGCCGCCCCAUAGGGCCCCAUAGCCCCAUAAGGCCCCACAUCCCAUAGCCCCCAUAAGGCCCCACAGCCGCCCCAUAGGGCCCCAUAGACCCCAUAACCGCCAUAGCCCCCCCACACCCCAUAGCCCCAUAAGGCCCCACAGCCCCCAUAGCCCCAUAAGGCCCCACAGCCCCCAUAAGGCCACAGAGCCGCCCCAUAGGCCUCAUAACCCCCCAUACCCCAUAGCCCCAUAAGGCCCCAGAGCCCCCAUAAGGCCCCACAGCCCCCCCAUAAGGCCCCAUAGCCCCAUAAGGUCCCACAGCCCCCAUAGUCCCCAUAAGGCCCCAUAAGCCCUAUAAGGCCUCAUAGCCCCCCCACACCCCAUAGCCCCACAAGGCCCCACAGCCCCCAUAGUCCCUAUAGGGCCCCAUAACCCCCAUAGCCCCCCCACACCCCACAGCCCCAUAAGGCCGCCCCAUAAGGCCCCACAGCCCCAUAAUG
rnacentral:lncRNA from 1 species